rnacentral:misc_RNA from 1 species
GAUGAGAACGUAGCGAAAUGCGAUACGUAAUGUGAAUUGCAGAAUUCAGUGAAUCAUCGAGUCUUUGAACGCACAUUGCGCCCCCUGGUAUUCCGGGGGGCAUGCCUGUCCGAGCGUCAUUGCUGCCCUCAAGCCCGGCUUGUGUGUUGGGUCUCGUCCCCCUUCCCGGGGGGACGGGCCCGAAAGGCAGCGGCGGCACCGCGUCCGGUCCUCGAGCGUAUGGGGCUUUGUCACCCGCUCUGUAGGCCCGGCCGGCGCUUGCCGAUCAACCAAAACUUUUUUCCAGGUUGACCUCGGAUCAGGUAGGGAUACCCGCUGAACUUAAGCAUAUCAAUAAGCGGAGGA